GGUGGUUCUUGGAUGAUGCACCCUGAAAUCAGGCUCCCUUCUCUCUGGUUCUGGGUGCAUCACCCGAGAAUGGCA
rfam:Myotis davidii contig123433, whole genome shotgun sequence.